UUGCAAAUUUGUAGAUCCCCCCCCCAGAAUGGAAUUAACUGGACCUCUUCAUUUUGCAGCUAAGGUUCCCUGCCCCUUAGUGGGCAGGGGGCUAGUGAGGG
rfam:Rattus norvegicus strain BN; Sprague-Dawley chromosome 6 CRA_213000034327448, whole genome shotgun sequence.